UACGUAGGUGGCAAGCGUUAUCCGGAAUUAUUGGGCGUACAGAGCGCGCAGGUGGUUGAUUAAGUCUGAUGUGAAAGCCCACGGCUUAACCGUGGAGGGUCAUUGGAAACUGGUCGACUUGAGUGCAGAAGAGGGAAGUGGAAUUCCAUGUGUAGCGGUGAAAUGCGUAGAGAUAUGGAGGAACACCAGUGGCGAAGGCGGCUUCCUGGUCUGUAACUGACACUGAGGCGCGAAAGCGUGGGGAGCAAACAGGAUUAGA
rnacentral:rRNA from 1 species